rnacentral:lncRNA from 1 species
ACUGAGGGGCUUGUCCACCUGUAACAGCUGGUAACUCACCAGCCCAAAAGGUGUAGGGUUCCUUAAGCCAGGGUCUCACUCAGAUCUUGUAUCUUCACAUCGCCUCUAAGUAGUAACUCUGGUAACUGCUGUUUGGUAAGACUUCUUUAAUCAAAGUGAUGCACGCGGAGGUCAGAAAGUUGGAAAUACAAAACGAAGGAUUCAGCGGGGCUGCAUUCCUUCUGGAGACCUGAGGAGAAUCCUUUUGGGAAUUUCUGGAUUAGCACAAGAAAGGCACGGUGACAAGAACAUGAGAUCGCGUUGCAUCCGUAGUCAGAACGCAGAGAUGGCUACUGACUCAGACCUUUCUCCAUUUUAUUUAGUCUAGGAUCCCAGCCCCUGGGGUGGUACUAUCCAUGUAUCCAUGUUCAGGGUGGAUUUACACCCUCAGACACACCCAGAGGUCUGUCCCUCUGGUGAUUCUAAAUCCAGCCACAGAGGCCAUUCAUAUAGUUCAAACCACCUUAGUCAGCAUUGAUCACCUCCCUUUGACUGAGUCAGAGAACACUCCAAAUUCAUAGAUUUUUUUAUAUGGUGAAUGCUAGCUAUAUGCAAAAUCUUGGAUUUGCGUAUGACUUCAAGAACAUCUACCAGCACUGUAUGAGAGAGAAAAAGCCAGCCUCCUCCAAUAACUUGGCUUAAACAAGCUAUUUAUGUUUUCUUUUCAGAGGACUCUGUUCAGCAAGAUGUAUGCAAAUGGUUCCCUACCUUAACAUAACCGAGGGUUCCAAAACUUAUGCAGAACCUCGAGGUUCCCAGAUCCAGCCCGAAGGCUGUCUUAGGGAGAGGGGGAUGAUGCUCAUGAGCCUCAGGAGAAAAACAAAAGAUCACUGGUCCUCAGGAGUGGAAACUUGGGAGAUUCUCAACUGUCUCUCUCCAGCAGUAUAAAAAGGAUACUUCAGAACAAAAGGUCAGCAGUCAUUGUUUCAGUCAGCUGAGGAGAUUUAGUCUACAGGCACAAACGUCCCCCCGGACUCGGAAGCUCAAAAGAAUGAAGGGUGUGCUGCCAGCUCUGGGAAGUGAGGUCUUCUGCUGGAGCAUGGUCAGAGAACACUGUCUCUCUCCCUCCCCUGGCAGCUAACAAUGGCCAAGAGCUCCACAGUAGAGGUCCACUCUGAGUCUCAUUCCCAUCUCUACCCUCUGGCUUUGGCUUACAUUGGCUUACAUAGGGUACUCAGCAUCUUUCAGCACUAGGAGAGCUAACCAGUAUAGAAGAAGUCUCUGGGAAAUUUGAUUUUUCCAUAUUCUAUAACUCAAGUAUGUGCUGUCUUCAGAGAUAAGGUCUCACUGGAAAGUUCUGAAGAGUUACUGAGAGAAGUGACAAUGGCUCAUAAUAUUUAGAGGUUUGGGAGGCCUCACUGCUCAGAAGCUCCAAAAGAAGUAACCCAUCCUGGACUGGGGGUUUUAUUUGUAAGGGUUUCCUGUAUUUUAGUGACUAAAAUCUAAGUUGCAUGGCAAAAGCUGAUGUCAUGGGCAGGAAUGACACUUGUUUCACAUGGAAAAGCACUAAAUAUAUUCAACAAUAAUAUAACCUGUCACUCUCUUAUUAUAACACUACCUUUUACAUUAUUCUCUUUGCUAUGUAAAAUAUUCUCUACUCAUAAAACUAAAAAAUGGGAGGGAACAAAUAUCUAAUAAACAUUUGAAGAGUGACAAAUGAUAUAUCUAUAUGAUUGAAUAUUUGCCAAUAAAAAUAAAUCAGGCAUUGAUACACGGUA